rnacentral:rRNA from 1 species
GGUCAAGUGAAGAAGCGCAUACGGUGGAUGCCUUGGCAGUCAGAGGCGAUGAAAGACGUGGUAGCCUGCGAAAAGCUUCGGGGAGUCGGCAAACAGACUUUGAUCCGGAGAUCUCUGAAUGGGGGAACCCACCUAGGAUAACCUAGGUAUCUUGUACUGAAUCCAUAGGUGCAAGAGGCGAACCAGGGGAACUGAAACAUCUAAGUACCCUGAGGAAAAGAAAUCAACCGAGAUUCCCUUAGUAGUGGCGAGCGAACGGGGAUUAGCCCUUAAGCUUCAUUGAUUUUAGCGGAACGCUCUGGAAAGUGCGGCCAUAGUGGGUGAUAGCCCCGUACGCGAAAGGAUCUUUGAAGUGAAAUCGAGUAGGACGGAGCACGAGAAACUUUGUCUGAACAUGGGGGGACCAUCCUCCAAGGCUAAAUACUACUGACUGACCGAUAGUGAACCAGUACCGUGAGGGAAAGGCGAAAAGAACCCCGGAGAGGGGAGUGAAAUAGAACCUGAAACCGUAUGCGUACAAGCAGUGGGAGCCUACUUGUUAGGUGACUGCGUACCUUUUGUAUAAUGGGUCAGCGACUUAUAUUCAGUGGCAAGCUUAACCGUAUAGGGUAGGCGUAGCGAAAGCGAGUCUUAAUAGGGCGUUUAGUCGCUGGGUAUAGACCCGAAACCGGGCGAUCUAUCCAUGAGCAGGUUGAAGGUUAGGUAACACUGACUGGAGGACCGAACCCACUCCCGUUGAAAAGGUAGGGGAUGACUUGUGGAUCGGAGUGAAAGGCUAAUCAAGCUCGGAGAUAGCUGGUUCUCCUCGAAAGCUAUUUAGGUAGCGCCUCAUGUAUCACUCUGGGGGGUAGAGCACUGUUUCGGCUAGGGGGUCAUCCCGACUUACCAAACCGAUGCAAACUCCGAAUACCCAGAAGUGCCGAGCAUGGGAGACACACGGCGGGUGCUAACGUCCGUCGUGAAAAGGGAAACAACCCAGACCGCCAGCUAAGGUCCCAAAGUUGUGGUUAAGUGGUAAACGAUGUGGGAAGGCUUAGACAGCUAGGAGGUUGGCUUAGAAGCAGCCAUCCUUUAAAGAAAGCGUAAUAGCUCACUAGUCGAGUCGGCCUGCGCGGAAGAUGUAACGGGGCUCAAACCACACACCGAAGCUGCGGGUGUCACGUAAGUGACGCGGUAGAGGAGCGUUCUGUAAGCCUGUGAAGGUGAGUUGAGAAGCUUGCUGGAGGUAUCAGAAGUGCGAAUGCUGACAUGAGUAACGACAAUGGGUGUGAAAAACACCCACGCCGAAAGACCAAGGGUUCCUGCGCAACGUUAAUCGACGCAGGGUUAGUCGGUUCCUAAGGCGAGGCUGAAAAGCGUAGUCGAUGGGAAACAGGUUAAUAUUCCUGUACUUCUGGUUACUGCGAUGGAGGGACGGAGAAGGCUAGGCCAGCUUGGCGUUGGUUGUCCAAGUUUAAGGUGGUAGGCUGAAAUCUUAGGUAAAUCCGGGGUUUCAAGGCCGAGAGCUGAUGACGAGUCGUCUUUUAGAUGACGAAGUGGUUGAUGCCAUGCUUCCAAGAAAAGCUUCUAAGCUUCAGGUAACCAGGAACCGUACCCCAAACCGACACAGGUGGUCGGGUAGAGAAUACCAAGGCGCUUGAGAGAACUCGGUGAAGGAACUAGGCAAAAUGGCACCGUAACUUCGGGAGAAGGUGCGCCGGCUAGGGUGAAGGAUUUACUCCGUAAGCUCUGGCUGGUCGAAGAUACCAGGCCGCUGCGACUGUUUAUUAAAAACACAGCACUCUGCAAACACGAAAGUGGACGUAUAGGGUGUGACGCCUGCCCGGUGCCGGAAGGUUAAUUGAUGGGGUUAGCGCAAGCGAAGCUCUUGAUCGAAGCCCCGGUAAACGGCGGCCGUAACUAUAACGGUCCUAAGGUAGCGAAAUUCCUUGUCGGGUAAGUUCCGACCUGCACGAAUGGCGUAACGAUGGCGGCGCUGUCUCCACCCGAGACUCAGUGAAAUUGAAAUCGCUGUGAAGAUGCAGUGUAUCCGCGGCUAGACGGAAAGACCCCGUGAACCUUUACUGUAGCUUUGCACUGGACUUUGAGCCUGCUUGUGUAGGAUAGGUGGGAGGCUUUGAAGCGUGGACGCCAGUUCGCGUGGAGCCAUCCUUGAAAUACCACCCUGGCAUGCUUGAGGUUCUAACUCUGGUCCGUAAUCCGGAUCGAGGACAGUGUAUGGUGGGCAGUUUGACUGGGGCGGUCUCCUCCUAAAGAGUAACGGAGGAGUACGAAGGUGCGCUCAGACCGGUCGGAAAUCGGUCGCAGAGUAUAAAGGCAAAAGCGCGCUUGACUGCGAGACAGACACGUCGAGCAGGUACGAAAGUAGGUCUUAGUGAUCCGGUGGUUCUGUAUGGAAGGGCCAUCGCUCAACGGAUAAAAGGUACUCCGGGGAUAACAGGCUGAUACCGCCCAAGAGUUCAUAUCGACGGCGGUGUUUGGCACCUCGAUGUCGGCUCAUCACAUCCUGGGGCUGAAGCCGGUCCCAAGGGUAUGGCUGUUCGCCAUUUAAAGUGGUACGCGAGCUGGGUUUAGAGAACGUCGUGAGACAGUUCGGUCCCUAUCUGCCGUGGACGUUUGAGAUUUGAGAGGGGCUGCUCCUAGUACGAGAGGACCGGAGUGGACGAACCUCUGGUGUUCCGGUUGUCACGCCAGUGGCAUUGCCGGGUAGCUAUGUUCGGAAAAGAUAACCGCUGAAAGCAUCUAAGCGGGAAACUUGCCUCAAGAUGAGAUCUCACUGGGAACUUGAUUCCCCUGAAGGGCCGUCGAAGACUACGACGUUGAUAGGCUGGGUGUGUAAGCGUUGUGAGGCGUUGAGCUAACCAGUACUAAUUGCCCGUGAGGCUUGACCAU